ACACACAGCUAUGUCACCCUGCAGCCCAAGACCGGUUACUCAUUGAAGCUAAGCAGGGCUGAGCCUGGUCAGUACCUGGAUGGGAGACCACUAGGGAACACUAGGUUGCUGUUGGAA
rnacentral:rRNA from 1 species